rnacentral:rRNA from 1 species
GACAGAGGGUGCAAACGUUGUUCGGAAUUACUGGGCGUAAAGCGCGUGUAGGCGGCUGCGCAAGCCGGAUGUGAAAUCCCCGGGCUUAACCUGGGAACUGCAUUCGGGACUGCAUUGCUAGAGUAUGGGAGAGGGAAGUGGAAUUUCAGGUGUAGCGGUGAAAUGCGUAGAUAUCUGAAGGAACAUCAGUGGCGAAAGCGACUUCCUGGACCAAUACUGACGCUCAUGUGCGAAAGCGUGGGGAGCAAACAGG